rnacentral:rRNA from 1 species
CCUACGGGAGGCAGCAGUGGGGAAUAUUGGACAAUGGGCGAAAGCCUGAUCCAGCCAUGCCGCGUGUGUGAAGAAGGCCUUCGGGUUGUAAAGCACUUUCAGUGGGGAAGAAAGCCUUGGGGCUAAUACCCUCGAGGAAGGACAUCACCCACAGAAGAAGCACCGGCUAACUCCGUGCCAGCAGCCGCGGUAAUACGGAGGGUGCGAGCGUUAAUCGGAAUUACUGGGCGUAAAGCGCGCGUAGGCGGUCUGAUAAGCCGGUUGUGAAAGCCCCGGGCUCAACCUGGGAACGGCAUCUGGAACUGUCAGGCUAGAGUGCAGGAGAGGAAGGUAGAAUUCCCGGUGUAGCGGUGAAAUGCGUAGAGAUCGGGAGGAAUACCAGUGGCGAAGGCGGCCUUCUGGACUGACACUGACGCUGAGGUGCGAAAGCGUGGGUAGCAAACAGGAUUAGAUACCCGAGUAGUC